UACGAAGGGGGGCUAGCGUUGUUCGGAAUUACUGGGCGUAAAGAGCUCGUAGGCGGUUUGUCGCGUCUGCCGUGAAAGUCCGGGGCUCAACUCCGGAUCUGCGGUGGGUACGGGCAGACUAGAGUGAUGUAGGGGAGACUGGAAUUCCUGGUGUAGCGGUGAAAUGCGCAGAUAUCAGGAGGAACACCGAUGGCGAAGGCAGGUCUCUGGGCAUUAACUGACGCUGGAGGAGCGAAAGCAUGGGGAGCGAACAGGA
rnacentral:rRNA from 1 species